UACAGAGGUCCCAAGCGUUGUUCGGAUUCAUUGGGCGUAAAGGGUGCGUAGGUGGCGCCGUAAGUCGGGUGUGAAAUUUCGGAGCUUAACUCCGAAACUGCAUUCGAUACUGCGGUGCUUGAGGACUGGAGAGGAGACUGGAAUUCAUGGUGUAGCAGUGAAAUGCGUAGAGAUCAUGAGGAAGACCAGUGGCGAAGGCGGGGUCCUGGGCCAGUACUGACGCUGAGGAGCGAAAGCGUGGGGAGCAAACAGG
rnacentral:rRNA from 1 species